rnacentral:lncRNA from 1 species
CAUGAUUGAAUCUUAUUUCGAUAUCAUUAAGAUACAUUGAGCAGAAUGUGACAGAUUCGGUAGCUACAUAUGCUUCCGCUAUAAAGCCUUCAGGUCUUGCUUUAUUACGCACAUACUUUUUUAAGGUGCAUAAGAAUCUGUAAACAAAAAUAAAUUUUAAUUUUAAAAAUAUAUUUACAUCUUAUAAUUGAUAUGAUAAAAUAUGUAUAACUUUUUUACCUUUUAAUAGGAUACAUCCAUCGAUAAUGUAUCGAUCUGACUAAAAGAGCUUCUUUUGGAAGAUGGAC